rnacentral:rRNA from 1 species
AGUAAAGAUGCUCGUUACGCGCAGAAGGACGGAAAGACCCCGGGACCUUUACUAUAGCUUGGUAUUGGUGUUUGGUACGGCUUGUGUAGGAUAGGUGGGAGACUGUGAAGCAUGCACGCUAGUGUGUGUGGAGUCGUUGUUGAAAUACCACUCUGGUUGUGCUGGAUGUCUAACCUUGGACCAUGAUCUGGUUCAGGGACAGUGCCUGGUGGGUAGUUUAACUGGGGCGGUUGCCUCCUAAAAUGUAACGGAGGCGCUCAAAGGUUCCCUCAGCCUGGUUGGUAAUCAGGUGGCGAGUGUAAGUGUACAAGGGAGCUUGACUGUGAGACUGACAGGUCGAGCAGGUGCGAAAGCAGGAACUAGUGAUCCGGCGGUGGCUUGUGGAAGCGCCGUCGCUCAACGGAUAAAAGGUACCCCGGGGAUAACAGGCUGAUCCUGCCCAAGAGUUCAUAUCGACGGCAUGGUUUGGCACCUCGAUGUCGGCUCGUCGCAUCCUGGGGCUGGAGUAGGUCCCAAGGGUUG